AACGCGAAGAACCUUACCAAGGCUUGACAUAUACCGGAAACGGCUGGAAACAGUCGCCCCGUAAGGUCGGUAUACAGGUGGUGCAUGGUUGUCGUCAGCUCGUGUCGUGAGAUGUUGGGUUAAGUCCCGCAACGAGCGCAACCCUCGUCCUAUGUUGCCAGCACGUUAUGGUGGGAACUCAUGGGAGACUGCCGGGGUCAACUCGGAGGAAGGUGGGGAUGACGUCAAAUCAUCAUGCCCCUUACGUCUUGGGCUUCACGCAUGCUACAAUGGCCGGCACAAAGGGCUGCAAUACCGCAAGGUGGAGCGAAUCCCAGAAAACCGGUCUCAGUUCGGAUUGAGGUCUGCAACUCGACCUCAUGAAGUCGGAGUCGCUAGUAAUCGCAGAUCAGCAACGCUGCGGUGAAUACGUUCCCGGGCCUUGUACACACCGACUGUAC
rnacentral:rRNA from 1 species